rnacentral:rRNA from 1 species
AUUGAACGCUGGCGGCGUGCCUAACACAUGCAAGUCGAGCGGUAACAGGUGUAGCAAUACAUGCUGACGAGCGGCGGACGGGUGAGUAACGCUUGGGAAUCUGCCUAUUAGUGGGGGACAACCCGGGGAAACUCGGGCUAAUACCGCAUACGCACUACGGUGGAAAGCCGGGGACCGCAAGGCCUGGCGCUAACAGAUGAGCCCAAGUCGGAUUAGCUAGUUGGUAGGGUAACGGCUACCAAGGCGACGAUCCGUAACUGGUCUGAGAGGACGACCAGUCACACCGGAACUGAGACACGGUCCGGACUCCUACGGGAGGCAGCAGUGGGGAAUAUUGGACAAUGGGCGAAAGCCUGAUCCAGCGACGCCGCGUGGGUGAAGAAGGCCUGCGGGUUGUAAAGCCCUUUCAGUGGGAAGAAAAGCCUCGAGCUAACACCUCGGGGUCUUGACGUAA